UUAAAGUAGUAAGGGCGCAGGGUGGAUGCCUUGGCACUAAGAGCCGAUGAAAGACGUGAUAAGCUGCGAAAAGCUUCGGGGAGGAGCACAUAUCCAAUGAUCCGGAGAUAUCUGAAUGGGGAAACCCGGCAGAGGAAACCUCUGUCAGCGUGCAGUGAAUACAUAGCUGUACGUGGGGAACCCGGGGAACUGAAACAUCUAAGUACCCGGAGGAAGAGAAAGAAAAUUUAUCGAUUUCCAAAGUAGCGGCGAGCGAAAUGGAAAGAGCCCAAACCGUGAUGCGUGCAUCGCGGGGUUCGGACUGCGUUGUGGCAGACGUAAGAUAGGAGAACGGACUGGGAAGUCCGGCCGGAGAGAGUGAAAGCCUCGUAUCCGAAAUCCCAAGUCGCCUAGCAGGAUCCAGAGUAGGACGAGACACGAGAAACCUUGUCUGAACGAGCGGGGACCACCCCGUAAGGCUAAAUACUUCUUAGUGACCGAUAGCGCAUAGUACUGUGAAGGAAAGGUGAAAAGUACCCCGGGAGGGGAGUGAAAGAGAACCUGAAACCCUGUGUCUACAAGCUGUGGGACCUCUUUAUAUGAGGGACUGCGUACUUUUUGUAGAACGGUCCGGCGAGUUGUGCGUACUGGCGAGGUUAAGGACUUAAGGUCUGGAGCCGAAGUGAAAGCAAGCGUUAAGAGCGCGUCAAGUCAGUGAGUGCAGACCCGAAACCGGGUGACCUAUCCAUGUCCAGGUUGAAGCUUCCGUAAGAGGAAGUGGAGGACCGAACCCACAUCCGUUGAAAAGGGUGGGGAUGAGGUGUGGAUAGCGGAGAAAUUCCAAUCGAACCCGGAGAUAGCUGGUUCUCCUCGAAAUAGCUUUAGGGCUAGCCUCAUGAGAGUCUUAUGGAGGUAGAGCACUGAAUUGCCUAGGGGGCGUCAAAGCUUACCAAAGCAUAUCAAACUCCGAAUGCCAUCAAGAUGAUUCAUGGGAGUCAGACCAUACGAGAUAAGUUGGAUGGUCAAAAGGGAAAGAGCCCAGACCUACAGCUAAGGUCCCAAAGUGCGUGUUAAGUGGAAAAGGAUGUGGGGAUUCUAAGACAACUAGGACGUUGGCUUAGAAGCAGCCAUUCAUUGAAAGAGUGCGUAAUAGCUCACUAGUCGAGAGUCCCUGCGCCGAAAAUGUCCGGGGCUGAAACACGACACCGAAGCUUAGGAAUGUGUAAACAUUGGUAGAGGAGCAUUGCUGGCGGGAUGAAGCCAUACCGUAAGGAGUGGUGGACUGCUAGGAAGAGAGAAUGCCGGAAUGAGUAGCGAGAUGAAGGUGAGAAUCCUUCAGGCCGAAUAUCUAAGGUUUCCAGAGUAAAGCUGAUCUGCUCUGGGUAAGUCGGGACCUAAGGCGAGGUCGAAAGACGUAGUCGAUGGAUAACAGGUUGAAAUUCCUGUACCGCAUAUAAACAGAACUGUGGGGACACAGACAGGGAAUGGAAUCCGGGAAUGGAUAUCCCGGUGCAAGCGAGGUAGGAGUGCUGUUGGCAAAUCCGCAGCACGAUCUGAAGACGUGAUGCGUACCGAACAUAAGUAGGGAAGUCCAGGCCCCUGGCUGUCAAGAAAAGCCGCUAUCGUUUUAUAUGUGCCCGUACCGCAAACCGACACAGGUGGAUGAGGAGAGAAUCCUAAGGCCGACGGGAGAAGUAUUGUUAAGGAACUCGGCAAAAUGACUCCGUAACUUCGGGAGAAGGAGUGCCAUGAGAGUGGCCGCAGAGAAAUGGCCCAAGCAACUGUUUAGCAAAAACACAGGUCUAUGCAAAACCGCAAGGUGAAGUAUAUGGGCUGACGCCUGCCCGGUGCUGGAAGGUUAAGGGGAGAGGUUAGCGCAAGCGAAGCUUUGAACUUAAGCCCCAGUAAACGGCGGCCGUAACUAUAACGGUCCUAAGGUAGCGAAAUUCCUUGUCGGGUAAGUUCCGACCC
rnacentral:rRNA from 1 species